GGUAGGGGGUGUGAGAGCACGGCCCCCCACACUGGGACUGAAACACGGCCCAGACUCCUAACGGGAUGCAGCAGCGGGGAAUUAUUGCGCACUGGACGGAAGUCAAACGCAGCGACGCCGCGUGGGUGAAGAAUGCCUUCGGGUUGUAAAGCCCUUUUCUUGUUGGGAAGAGGAAGGACGGUACCAUAGGAAUAAGCGUCGGCUAACUACGUGCCAGCAGCCGCGGUAAGACGUAUGACGCAAGCGUUAUCCGGGAUUUACUGGGCGUAAAGCGUGUGUAUGCGGCGUGACAAGUUUGGGCGUGAAAGGCCCCGUGCUCAACGGCGGGGAGGCCGCCACAAUACUGUCAGGCCAAAAGGGCAUCAGAAGGGGUGUGGAAUUCCCGGAGUAACGGUAAAAUGCGCAAAAAUCGGGAGGAACACCGGUGCCGAAACCGGCACCUUGGGGUGCGCCUGAACGCUGAGAGAAGAACAGCUAUGGGGAGCGACCAGGGAUUAGAGACCCUGGUUAGUCCUAGCCGUAAACGAUGGAUGCUAGGUGUGGGAGUGAAGAACUUCUGUGCCCGCAGCGAACGCGAUAAGCAUCCCGCCUGGGGAGUACGGCCGCAAGGUUAAAACUCAAACGAAUUGACGGGGACCCGCACAAGCAGCGGAGCGUGUGGUUUAAUUCGAUGCUACACGAAGAACCUUACCUGGGAUUGACAUAUGGGUGGUAGUGAGCCGAAAGGCAAGCGACCAUUCGGGGAGCCUAUACAGGUGCUGCA
rnacentral:rRNA from 1 species